ACCAGUUAUGUAGAUGUUCUCAUCAGAUAAGUUGGUAGUCCCAGGAACUUGAAUGUGAGUAUGAUUGGUUGUAUGGAGGUGUGUAAGUCAUAGAGAAAAGUGAUGUUGGUUAGAAAGUAUCAGUAAAAUUCUAAGUGUUGAGGAGUGUUUCUUGAGUUGUCCAAGAGAGUUUGAGGGUUAGUGCCAGAGUGUCCUGGAUAUCUCUGCAUGUCCGAAUCUGAAUGCCCAAACUAACCCUCUCUCUUCCCUUUGUCCUAACUUUUAAAGGGCCAGACUCUCUGUACGUCAUUAGUUGAUAAGGCCAAAAGGAAACUGAAGGUGUGGUCAACCUGCAGAUCGCAAUUUAGGUAUUUGAUCCAUAGAGGGCAGUCUCGCCUCACUAAACUUUCCUAUCCAGGAAAGAGUUAACUUUUCCUGAUGACGAUUUUGACGUCAUUUGGCUUAUCUAAAAUGACUACCAUAACUUAAAUUUGCUGUCAGUUCAAAGCGUAUGCCUCAGUCUUUGUGGCAACGACUUUGAUUGUAAUUUCUAAACUUGACAGUUCUAAACUCAAUUUCACCCCUUGCUUACAAUGGGACCUUGUAAAAUAUAGAGAGUAAAAUUAAUUACUUAUCUUCUGUGUCACUAGUGUCUGUGUUUAAAAUUAUUUCUAUUCCAUUAACAUUUAAACAGAGCAUUCCAUCCCUCUGGUUCAUUGCUUAUCACUUGGCUUGUUACAUAAUGCAUUCCGUAGCUCAGGUUGAUGGCUAGUGUUACUGAAAGCAAGGGAAGAAAUCUUGUCUGUCUUGCCUGAAAUCCAAAAUGGAGUCCGCUCUGUUCUGAGUGAUUCUGGCAAUAUACACUUUUAAUUUCUAUCGUAGCACAAAAUGUCUGCCGAUAUAAAUAUCUUGACAACACACACAGCCACACAAUACCACAUGCACACACAAUGUGACAUAUCAUACACACACACAGCCACACAAUACCACAAGCAGCCCACAUUCCUUGGUAAUCUACACAAACUACUCAUGAACAUAUACAAUAUAACAGCCCACAUACACACAAGUAAAACACUACAAGGCAACUGCAGCACCCUAAAUAACACAAGCACAAUACGGCAACAUACACACCUCCAAUUUAAAAAAAUUUUUUUUUUUUAAAUCCGGCACGCUGAGGGACUGCAAGAUCUUGUUUUGGCA